rnacentral:rRNA from 1 species
GACGAACGCUGGCGGCGUGCUUAACACAUGCAAGUCGAACGGAAAGGCCCUGCUUUUGUGGGGUGCUCGAGUGGCGAACGGGUGAGUAACACGUGAGUAACCUGCCCUUGACUUUAGGAUAACUUCAGGAAACUGGGGCUAAUACCGGAUAGGAGCUCCUGCUGCAUGGUGGGGGUUGGAAAGUUUCGGCGGUUGGGGAUGGACUCGCGGCUUAUCAGCUUGUUGGUGGGGUAGUGGCUUACCAAGGCUUUGACGGGUAGCCGGCCUGAGAGGGUGACCGGCCACAUUGGGACUGAGAUACGGCCCAGACUCCUACGGGAGGCAGCAGUGGAGAAUAUUGCACAAUGGGCGGAAGCCUGAUGCAGCAACGCCGCGUGCGGGAUGACGGCCUUCGGGUUGUAAACCGAUUUCGCCUGUGACGAGGCGUGAGUGACGGUAAUGGGUAAAGAAGCACCGGCUAACUACGUG